AAAAAUUUAGUUAAAACUAUAACAUUAGCUUGUCAAGCUAAAAUUACUAUGUAAGUAGUAAUUUUUA
rnacentral:tRNA from 1 species